GAUGAACGCUAGCGGCAGGCCUAAUACAUGCAAGACGAACGGUAAGUUGAGUAGCAAUACUUAGCCAAGAGUGUCGUACGGGUGCGUAACACGUAUGCAACCUACCCUAUACAGGAGGAUAGCCUAGGGAACCUGGAUUAACCCUUCAUAGUAUUAUUGGAUGGCAUCAUUUGAUAAUUAAAAACUGAGGUGGUAUAGGAUGGGCAUGCGUCUGAUUAGUUAGUUGGCGGGGUAAUGGCCCACCAAGACGAAUGAUCAUAGGGUCUGAGAGGAAGAUCCCCCACACUGGCACUGAGAUACGGGCCAGACUCCUACGGAGGCAGCAGUAGGGAAUAUUGGUCAAUGGAUGCAAGUCUGAACCAGCCAU
rnacentral:rRNA from 1 species